rnacentral:lncRNA from 1 species
UGGAAGCCCUGCAUAGGACAAGAAGACCUGGAAUCUGCCUGCAAGAGUCAUCCCCCAUUCCUCUUGGGAACCACCAGACAGACUGGAUCGCAUACUCCAAGAGCCAAGAGGAGAGAAAGAAAGAUCACUGGAACAGAAGGACACUCACCAGUUUAGUAGAAUGCAAAUUCAGGUCAGCUAAACUAUUAUUCUUUGUCAUUGAUGGAGAAAGAAAUUGUUACAGACUGAGCCAGAGAUACUCACUGUCCUGAAUCCAUUCCCAAGAAGAUCCAAAUGCCUGGCAAGCCCGUGUUCCCGGUGAUCCCCUCUGUGCUUGUCACUUCGGCCUCACUUAAAAGAGAAAGUGCCCUCAGGAUCCUACAGAUCUCACUGCCAGCUUGGAUUCUCUUUUCAUUAAUUUGUGUUUUCCUAAGGAAUAUUUAUUCAUGUAGUCUGUGUUUGGGC